GCCUGUGGCUCAAAGGGUAGGGUGCCAGCCUUAUAUGCUGGAGGUAGUGGGUUCAAACCCAGCCACAGCCA
rnacentral:tRNA from 1 species